AUUACAGUGAAAGUGAAACCUGCGCCACAGACGAAUAAAACACUAGCUACAUUUUUCAAAUUUAAGAAUUAAACAAAAUUAGGAAAUUAUAAAAAAGCACAACAAAACAAAAGUUCAAACAAAUAGCAAAAUGUGUGGUGGUUUUACCUGCUCCAAGAACGCGCUAAUUGCGCUUAACAUUUUGUAUGUGUUGAUUGGUUUCUUGCUGAUUGGCGUCGGUGUCUAUGCACGGGCGGCCUCCGUUGUCACGAAUCUGCCAAUUGUUGGAGGCAUUCUCGCCUGCGGGGUGAUACUCAUCUGCAUAUCCAUGCUGGGCCUUGCUGGCGCCGUCAAGCACCAUCAAGUGAUGCUCUUCUUUUACAUGAUAAUUUUGUUCAUGCUCUUCCUCAUCCAGUUCUCCAUUGCCAGCUCCUGUUUGGCCGUUAACUCCGAGCAGCAGCAACAGUUCGCUGAGCAGGGCUGGAAGACGGUGCCACCCAAGCUGCGUAAACAGGUGCAGGACAGUUUCCUUUGCUGCGGCUUCAAUGCCACCAGCAACAGCGUCACCAAUGGCGAGGAGCCCAGCUGCGAGUUAAUCAAUAGAGAGUGCUGUGCCGACUCCAAGGAUCCGUUGUGUCGUUGCGGACCCUGCGGCCCCUUGUUGGAGGAUAAGAUUAACUAUGCUUUCAAGCUGUGCGGCGGUCUGGGCAUCUUCUUCAGCUUCACUGAGUUCGUUGGUGUCUGGCUAACAGUGCGCUAUCGCAAUCAAAAGGAUCCGCGCGGCUUGCCCAGCGCCUUCCUCUAAAUUGCAUACUAAACAAAAAAUAUAAAUAACAAAUACUAAUUGCAGACGCACAAGCGCUCAAAACGCAUGUGUGUCUACUAAAGAAAAAGUUAAUGUCAAUGUGUAAAUUUCAUAUUCAUGCAACAAUCGUGGGUCUAUUAGAUCAACUUUGUGGUUAGCUGCUAUCAUACGGCAUACAUAAUAUAGAAGCAUAUUUAUAUUUAUACAAGCAUCUCUUACACAUGCAUAACUGCAUGCCCGCAUACAUACUAGCAAGUACUUUGUACUUACGGGAUGUGGUAAUAUAUAACUAAGUACGCAUUAUGCAUUAGGCCAUACAUACACACAUUUACAACUCUAGAAAUACUACAUAUACAUAUAUAUAUAUAUAUAUAUAUAUAUAUAUAUAUACAAGAUAUAGAUGCGUGUUUAGUCCUUUAUAACAAACACCAGCAAUCAAGUGUUUUUCGAACUGAACAUUAAACAUAUUUUACACCCACAUACUUGCACACAUCUGUAUACUUCUUCCCCAUAUAUUUCUUCAUACACUAACAAACUCUUUGGCGACGUAUCCUAACUAAACUAAAGUAUCUAAAAAAAUUUAAACUCGGCUAAGGCAUCUGGUUUUGGCCGUUUUUCUGGCGCGUCGCUAUCGCAACCAGCACGAUCCCUGCUAUUUGCCCGCACGCGCUGUUUUUCCACACAACUAUCAGUACUAAGUGGGCCACAUAGGAGCUGCAUGAGAUCAAAGAGCCAAGGCGCUGGCAAUUUUUAGUCAAAGGGACGAAGGCUGAUUUAUAAUUUUGUACACAAAUUUCCUAGCAUGAGCUGAGUCAAAGCAAAUUUCAGAGACCUCGUCUAAAAGUCCUUUGAAUAUGUGCAUUAAGCGCUUGAUCAGUUUCUAGUUUUAAUUGUUAUAAAGUGUUUAAGUUACCCAAUUGAGAUUACAAUAUGUUUGGUGUUCACUAUGUAAUAUUUGUAUAUUUUAUUUUAAUUGUACAAUUUUUUCUUUAUUUCUUAAGUUAGCUUACUAAGAGUAUUUUAUUUUUGUUUGCAACUGGCAACAAUCAGAAAACACAACUGCUGUACCACAAAAGAACAAGAAAUAAUAAUGAAAAAUAACUUUAUAACCAUUUCGAACCUGAUAUAAGCGUAGAACCAAGUCAAAUGAAACUAGCAACUGUAACUGUGUUUUAACAAAGCGUAACAUAUACAUAAAGCAACUUAUAUACAUCUACAUACUAUAUAUAUACAUAUACAUAAAUAUAUACAUAAAUAAUUCAAGAUAUAGAUGUUAGAUGUGUGUUAAAACUUUGAGAUUAGUACUUAUAUUGCAUAAAAAAAAAACCAACAAUACAUGUCAAGAAAUAUUUCUAAAGUCUUAAAAUAUCAAAUACCCUUUCAAAGAUAAAACACCUUGAGCUAUGUUUUGCCCUCUUUGCUUUUUCUUCUCGUUUUCUUUUCAUCCUCUGCAUAUAUCUAUAUAUUUUCCAAUUACUCUGCGGCGCCUACUGCUGCCUUCGCUGCUUGCACCCACGCAGGCAAACACACAAAGCUAGCUUUAGCUAUUCUCUUUUUCUUGCCGCACAACUACAAACACCUAAACGAACACAGGCACACACACAAAUACACACACACCCCCACAUAAUACAACCAACAAGUUGAGAUAGUUUUUCUCAUGUGUUUCGUUUCGUAUUUCCUUUCGAGCGACAAAGAAAUCAUUAAAUAAAAAUUCUCUGUAUUCUGUGCUGUGAUUGAAGUAAACAUGAUCUUUAAAAACCAAAUAAA